ACGCUCGACACCUACGGGAGGCAGCAGUGAGGAAUAUUGGUCAAUGGACGCAAGUCUGAACCAGCCAUGCCGCGUGCAGGAUGACGGCUCUAUGAGUUGUAAACUGCUUUUGUACGAGGGUAAACGCAGAUACGUGUAUCUGUCUGAAAGUAUCGUACGAAUAAGGAUCGGCUAACUCCGUGCCAGAAGCCGCGGUAAUCUGAGCGGCUGGCAAGGC
rnacentral:rRNA from 1 species